UGAGUACGAAAGAUGAUCGCAGAUGUUUGAGGCAUCUGAGGAAAGUCCGAGCUCCAUAGGGCAGGGUGCUGGAUAACGUCCAGCGAGGGCGACCUUAGGGAUAGUGCCACAGAAAUGUAGACCGCCUGACGUUUUGUCAGGUAAGGAUGGAACGGUGCGGUAAGAGCGCACCAGCAGUCAGGUAACUGGCUGGCUAGGUAAACCCCACCUGGAGCAAGACCAAAUAGGGAAGGGAUGAAGCGGCCCGCUGAACCUUCCGGGUGUGUCGCUAGAGUUGUCAGGUAACUGGCAAUCCAGAUAAAUGAUCGUCGCCGCCAAAAGCGGAACAGAACUCGGCUUAUUGACUACUCAGAAU
rfam:Sporomusa sp. An4 isolate Sporomusa ovata strain An4 genome assembly, contig: SPAN4DRAFT_scaffold-1